GCCGUUACCUCAGCGCCGGUUUAAACCGCUCUCGCCUGGCCGGUGAGGAACCGCCCGCCCCGCCAGCCGGCCACUCUCCCUCACCGCUGGCUUAAGAAACCUCCCUGAGGGAAGGGCUCCCUAGCGCUAGCAGAACAGCGGCAUGAGCGAGAUGGCGUUUAAAAAGAAAACUCUGUGAAGCGGCUCUUGAUAAUGGUUGAACAUCCUGCCGAGAAUCAUCUGAAGGAAGUUCUCCCAUCCAGAUAAAACCACAGAUUGUGGCUAACACUGAGUGAAGUUACCGGUGAUGCUCUGACACAGUGGUUGGCUUAUUACAGUUCAAACCAACUAGGGAUGACAUCAAGAGCAAAGAAUACAGUCUUCAGUUCUGCAAAGGUAUCAAGGAUCACCACUGCCCACUCUCCGGAAUGACACAGAUCAGAGAGUCUCCAUAGUGAGCCCUACAGAAGCUAAACAGUUUGUAAGUAGGGCCUACUAGAACCAUCUAGCAUUAACUAAUGGACUGUUGAUUUUUUAGUUCUCCAUCAUAUUAAUAUGUUCCAAUUAAUUAUUCUAACUACUUAGAAUUAACGGAUGGCAUUUACAUAUUAAACUUUGCUGACUCCAAAUUUGAACCUUUCACCACACAUUUACCAAACAGAUUAAAAAGCCCUCUGGUGUCAAGCAUCUCAUGCCGGUGUGGGUGCUUUCAAAUGGUUCCAGGCAGCUCCUCAUCUUCCCCCUACCACACUGAACAUGUCAAUCAAUCUUUCCCCACCACCCAUCACUGCAAGGGCAAUUGCUAAGCCAUGAACCCUGGUAGUUUGCCCAAGCAUUACCCAAUUGUACAACAACCUCAAGAGACAUCUCACUAGAACUAGACAGUAUGUUCUUCAACAGUGACCUGAA